rnacentral:misc_RNA from 1 species
GCGUUUAUGAAGAUCACCUUGCUCUACCUGGAAAGUUCCCCCCAUGCAAAAAGCAACGAGUUUUCCCAAUCUCUCCACUAACACCAACGUACUUUCCGAGGCACGAUAGAUUUCAUGAGCUUUAUCCUCUAGCUCCUUAAGCCGUGAGUCGCCACGCCCAUCAAUGAGAACCACCUCCAUUGAUGCCUCACUGGGUUCAAUUUCUCUAAGUGAAAUUAAAGGCGGCAGCCGCCUUCCUUCCUCUUCAUCAUUACACAUCACCCACAGAUGAGGAUUCAUCCCGAGAAUGUUAUAGAAUCCAUCUGAAAUUCUGUCACCGUACGACAAGCAUCCACUAACCCAGAGACGAUAAGAUACUGUUUCUGCAUCGAAGGACUCAGGCACGCCCUCCUGCAAAAGUACAAGCUCACUAGCAAGGCCAGAUUGAAAACUAAGCCUCUUAGCUAAAGCAA